rnacentral:rRNA from 1 species
GACGAACGCUGGCGGCGUGCUUAACACAUGCAAGUCGAACGCGCCUGUCCUCUGGGUUUCUGGGGGGUGGGUGAGUGGCGAACGGGUGAGUAACACGUGAGUAACCUGCCCCCUUCUUCGGGAUAACGGUCUGAAAGGGCUGCUAAUACCGGGUAUUCACUGGUCUCCGCAUGGGGUCUGGUGGAAAGGUUUUUUUCUGGUGGGGGAUGGGCUCGCGGCCUAUCAGCUUGUUGGUGGGGUGAUGGCCCACCAAGGCUUUGACGGGUAGCCGGCCUGAGAGGGUGACCGGUCACAUUGGGACUGAGAUACGGCCCAGACUCAUACGGGAGGCAGCAGUGGGGAAGAUUGCACAAUGGGCGCAAGCCUGAUGCAGCGACGCCGCGUGAGGGAUGGAGGCCUUCGGGUUGUGAACCUCUUUCGCCCGUGGUCAAGCCGCGACGUGGGUCGUGGUGAGGGUAGUGGGUAAAGAAGCGCCGGCUAACUACGUG